GAUGAACGCUAGCGGCAGGCCUAACACAUGCAAGUCGAGGGAGGAGCUUUCGGGCUUCGACCGGCGUACGGGUGCGUAACGCGUAUACAAUCUUCCCUUCACAUAGGGAUAGCCCGAAGAAAUUUGGAUUAAUAUCUAAUGGUAUAUCGAGGUGGCUUCACCUUUAUAUUAAAGCUGCGGCGGUUAAAGUUGAGUAUGCGUUCUAUUAGCUAGUUGGAGAGGUAACGUCUCCCCAGGGCGACGAUAGAUAGGGGUUCUGAGAGUGAUAUCCCCCACACUGGUACUGAGAUACGGACCAGAGGACUAAGGGAGGCAGAAGUGAGGAAUAUUGGAAAAUGGUGGGAAGACUGAUACAGCCAGGCCGAGUGCAGGAAGACGGCCUUAUGGGUUGUAAACUGCUUUUGCAGGGGAAGAAUAAGGACUACGCGUAGUUUGAUGACGGUACUCUGCGAAUAAGCAUCGGCUAACUCCGUG
rnacentral:rRNA from 1 species